UACGUAGGAGGCAAGCGUUGUCCGGAAUUACUGGGCGUAAAGCGCGUGUAGGUGGUGGGACAAGUCUGCUGUGAAAGCGCCUGGCCUAACCGGGCGAGGUCGGCGGAAACUGUUCGACUCGAGGACGGUAGAGGGGGUGGAAUUCCCGGUGUAGUGGUGAAAUGCGUAGAUAUCGGGAGGAACACCAGUGGCGAAGGCGGGUCUCUGGACCGAGACUGACGCUGAGGAGCGAAAGUGUGGGGAGCGAACAGG
rnacentral:rRNA from 1 species